rnacentral:misc_RNA from 1 species
UUUUAAUUUUAAAAAAUAAAAUUUAUAUACAAUUGUAUGAGAAUUCUUUUAAUGUAAAUUUUUUAUUCCAAAUAAACACUAAAUAAUACCACAAUUGAACUAAAUAUUAGUAUAUGGAGUGAUGAAGGCAUAACACCCAUGAAUGGGCUCAGAGUCCAUAAUGUCUAGACUCAAAUAACGAAUGCUUGGAGCUUGUGGUGACUAAGGCCCAUUAUGGUCAGUUUCGAAUUGAAACAAACUGCACAUAGCAUGCAGUAUAUCUUCCAAUCCCAUUACAUGAAGAAGUGGAGAAGUAUGGCUAUCACCAAUUCAAACAACAACUAAUGGACUGUAGCUAUUCAAGAAAUUUUUGCCUAUAAACUUAUGAUAUAAAUAUGUAGGAAUCUCAUUGGGUCUAUGAUAUAGAAAAAUUCAUAAUUACUGGAGCAAAAGAAAAGUGUGCUUCUGAUUCUGAGUGCUUGGCUAAAAAGAAAACAAAAGAGUUUCUCAUUUUUUUGGUUUGGGUAGCCAAUUGCAUUCCAGGUAACAUAUAAACCGUGGAUAAAUGGCUAUGGCCUAUGGUAAUAUGAUCAUUACUUAAGCUAUGUGAUAGAACACUUUGAUAUUGGCAUGUAAAAGCUCUAAUAUGGAGAAAUAUAAGCUCG